GGAUAAGAGGAAAGAGUUGGGCGGGCCUAUGAUUCUUCUGCAGCUAUGGGCGUGGGAAAGAAUGCCCACAUUGAGGCCGUCGUUCAUAGGAUCACUCGUGCACGAGCCAUAUACGCCAUGUGGUGCCAGGUGGAAAUGAACAACUCAAAUAGGAAAUGCUCCUAGAUACUCGGUUGAGCAUUACCGUGACCAAAUAUCCCUGAUUAGACUUGACCAGUUUCUCUGGACGCCAUACGCACAUUGCAUACUGUCUGACUACUGCAGUGAUGUGAAUGGAUGCUCUUUGUGCGAUACCUACUUGGUGUGCUGGGACUAUGUCGAGGCACAUGAGGCUGGACGAGUGCGGCGACAGUUCAAUCGGUAUCAGGAUAUUCCUCAAUAUGUAGACAGGAUGCUAAAGAAUGCCGAUCAUUUGGGCAAAAAUGAUCGGCGUGGUAAGAAGGGUAACAAUUGGGAAAACACUCACCAGUUCUACAUUGGGGAGUGAGACCUGAGGUAUGAAAAGUUCCAGGCAACCGAAGACGCCACACCGAUGUCCAUGAAUAUUCCUAUGAGUCCACGGUAUAUGGCGUGGUACACCAAGAUUACAGUGACGUACCUGACUCAGCUUAGGGUACGGUCAACUACUGGGAUGAACGAGUCAGCUUCUUCGAUGAGAUUACUUGUUGAGGGUUUUCAGCAGGUUUUUUAUUUAACUACUGAAGAAGAAAUGGACCCAAGAAUGCGCCAGAUUCGAUAAAUUGCUAGGCGUUGCCUCCAGUCGACGAACAACGCCGAUCUCACGGAGUACCCGGCUUCCCAACAUCAAGUUGUGGUCAUGCCUUAUCAACCACAAGUGAUUCCACAACAUCGUGGAGUGCCUGGUGUUCGGACUGGUGGACACGGUUUCACAAAGCAGUUUAGGAUGUCGCAGCCGCAUCCCGAUUACGUAAUACCAGAGCCGAUGAAUCCAGAGCAUGACCCACCUCAGUGGUCUUCGUAUCCGGCGCAUGAGUCCCAAUCACAGUGGGACCAUCCCUUGUAUUCUCCAAGCCAGCCUGAGCCUGUUUGAACUCGUCGCCCCUAUUCACAAAGCCAAGAUAUGCCGCAAUGGAGUGGAGCCCGAGCAUCAGUCGACUCAUUCUUCCAAAAUUAUCAGUUUGUGCCUCUUGUACAAGUUGAAGAAGAUGACGAUGAAGGAAAAGAAGAAAAUGAUGAAAGAGAGGAGGAAAAUGAGGAAGAAGAGGUUGUUCAUAACAUCCAUGUCCAACCUCGACCAGUUGCGGAGGGUUCAUCACGCGGCGGGGUUGGGAAGAUCAUGAGCAAAGUGUACAAGAGAUUGUCAACCAGGAAGAAUAAGGGGGUUGAACCGUCGAAAUACACUCCAUCGUCAUAUAAGUAGUGAAUGAAGUAAAAUAUUUAGUACAGUGGUUAUGAAGUUGGUGAAGGAGGUUGGUCUGUUUCUUCAUUUUUUUUAUAUAUAGCUUUAACCCUUUAUUUCU